CUGAGACACGGCCCAGACUCCUACGGGAGGCAGCAGUGGGGAAUAUUGCACAAUGGGCGCAAGCCUGAUGCAGCGACGCCGCGUGAGGGAUGACGGCCUUCGGGUUGUAAACCUCUUUCAGCAGGGAAGAAGCGCAAGUGACGGUACCUGCAGAAGAAGCACCGGCUAACUACGUGCCAGCAGCCGCGGUAAUACGUAGGGUGCGAGCGUUGUCCGGAAUUAUUGGGCGUAAAGAGCUCGUAGGCGGCUUGUCGCGUCGGAUGUGAAAGCCCGGGGCUUAACCCCGGGUCUGCAUUCGAUACGGGCAGGCUGGAGUGUGGUAGGGGAGAUCGGAAUUCCUGGUGUAGCGGUGAAAUGCGCAGAUAUCAGGAGGAACACCGGUGGCGAAGGCGGAUCUCUGGGCCAUUACUGACGCUGAGGAGCGAAAGCGUGGGGAGCGAACAGGAUUAGAUACCCUGGUAGUCCACGCCGUAAACGUUGGGCACUAGGUGUGGGUCGCAUUCCACGCGGUCCGCGCCGUAGCUAACGCAUUAAGUGCCCCGCCUGGGGAGUACGGCCGCAAGGCUAAAACUCAAAGGAAUUGACGGGGGCCCGCACAAGCAGCGGAGCAUGUGGCUUAAUUCGACGCAACGCGAAGAACCUUACCAAGGCUUGACAUACACCGGAAACGUCCAGAGAUGGGCGCCCCCUUGUGGUCGGUGUACAGGUGGUGCAUGGUUGUCGUCAGCUCGUGUCGUGAGAUGUUGGGUUAAGUCCCGCAACGAGCGCAACCCUCGUUCUGUGUUGCCAGCGGGUUAUGCCGGGGACUCACAGGAGACUGCCGGGGUCAACUCGGAGGAAGGUGGGGAUGACGUCAAAUCAUCAUGCCCCUUAUGUCUUGGGCUGCACACGUGCUACAAUGGCCGGUACAAUGAGCUGCGAUACCGUGAGGUGGAGCGAAUCUCAAAAAGCCGGUCUCAGUUCGGAUUGGGGUCUGCAACUCGACCCCAUGAAGUCGGAGUUGCUAGUAAUCGCAGAUCAGCAUUGCUGCGGUGAAUACGUUCCCGGGCCUUGUACACACCGCCCGUCACGUCACGAAAGUCGGUAACACC
rnacentral:rRNA from 1 species